rnacentral:rRNA from 1 species
GACAGGUGGUGCAUGGUUGUCGUCAGCUCGUGUCGUGAGAUGUUGGGUUAAGUCCCGCAACGAGCGCAACCCUCGACCUUAGUUGCCAGCAUUCAGUUGGGCACCCUAAGGUGACUGCCGGCUAAAAGUCGGAGGAAGGUGGGGAUGACGUCAAAUCAUCAUGCCCCUUAUGACCUGGGCUACACACGUGCUACAAUGGGCGGUACAAAGGGUCGCGAACCCGCGAGGGGGAGCCAAUCCCAAAAAGCCGCUCUCAGUUCGGAUUGCAGGCUGCAACUCGCCUGCAUGAAGCCGGAAUCGCUAGUAAUCGCGGAUCAGCAUGCCGCGGUGAAUACGUUCCCGGGCCUU